GCGCGGGUGACGGAACUGGUAGACGUAGCGGGCUUAAAACCCGCAGCCCGCGAGGGCGUACGGGUUCGAUUCCCGUCUCGCGCACCA
rnacentral:tRNA from 1 species